rnacentral:rRNA from 1 species
UACGGGGGGGGCAAGCGUUGUUCGGAAUCAUUGGGCGUAAAGCGCGCGUAGGCGGCCCGGUAAGUCCGUUGUGAAAGUCAAAGGCUCAACCUUUGAACGCCGAUGGAUACUGCCGGGCUAGAGUCCGGAAGAGGCGAGUGGAAUUCCCGGUGUAGCGGUGAAAUGCGCAGAUAUCGGGAGGAACACCAAUGGCGAAGGCAGCUUGCUGGGACGGUACUGACGCUGAGGCGCGAAAGCGUGGGGAGCAAACAGG